rnacentral:misc_RNA from 1 species
GAAAUGCGAUAAGUAAUGUGAAUUGCAGAAUUCCGUGAAUCAUCGAAUCUUUGAACGCACAUUGCGCCCUCUGGCAUUCCGGGGGGCAUGCCUGUCCGAGCGUCAUUACGCACCCUCAAGCCCGGCUUGUGUGAUGGGCCCCGGCGUCUCGUUCGCGAGACGGGCCCGAAAGGCAGCGGCGGCGUCGACCCGAUGAGCCCGAGCGUAUGGGGACUUCUGUCACACGUUCGCGGUGCGGACCGGCGCCUGCUUGACUUUUCUGAUUAUCCAGGUUGACCUCGGAUCAGGUAGGGAUACCUGCUGAACUUAAGC